rnacentral:rRNA from 1 species
UACAGAGGUCCCAAGCGUUGUUCGGAUUUACUGGGCGUAAAGGGAGCGUAGGCGGCAUUCUAAGUCUGAUGUGAAAGCUCUGAGCUUAACUCAGAAAUGGCAUUAGAUACUAGUUUGCUUGAGGAUUGGAGGGGAGAUUGGAAUACUUGGUGUAGCAGUGAAAUGCGUAGAUAUCAAGUGGAACACCAGUGGCGAAGGCGAAUCUCUGGACAAUUCCUGACACUGAUGCUCGAAAGCUAGGGGAGCAAACGGG